CAAGAGGAGCUCAGUGGCAGAGCAUUCGAUUGCUGAUCGAGAGGUCCACGGUUCAAAUCCGGGUGCCCCCUUCUUCA